AUUGAACGCUGGCGGCAGGCCUAACACAUGCAAGUCGAGCGGAGCGGCGGACGGGUGAGUAAUGCCUAGGAAUCUGCCUGGUAGUGGGGGAUAACGUCCUGACACGGGCGCUAAUACCGCAUACUAUCAGAUGAGCCUAGGUGGGAUUAGCUAGUUGGUGGGGUAACGGCCUACCAAGGCGACGAUCCGUAACUGGGCUGAGAGGAUGAUAAGUCACACUGGAACUGAGACACGGUCCAGACUCCUACGGGAGGCAGCAGUGGGGAAUAUUGCACAAUGGGCGCAAGCCUGAUGCAGCCAUGCCGCGUGUAUGAAGAAGGCCUUCGGGUUGUAAAGUACUUUCAGCGGGGAGGCGUUACCCGCAGAAGAAGCACCGGCUAACUCCGUGCCAGCCGCCGCGGUAAUUC
rnacentral:rRNA from 1 species